rnacentral:lncRNA from 1 species
UAAACAUCAAUCAACCGACUUUAUCGAGAAAUAUUACUUUUUUCCUGUCCUCCAUAAAUAGCGCUGAGAGAUGAGAAAGCGACAAAGUCCUUAAUCACGAAGCAAAGAAUUUCUUCAUUCAAUCCCAAACCCAGAAACCGAAACCAAGCAACUGAGAUCCGAUGGCUUUGGAGUGGGUUGUACUAGGAUACGCCGCGGCUGCAGAGGCCAUCAUGGUCCUGCUCCUGACGCUCCCGGGCCUCGACGGCCUCCGCAAGGGCCUCGUCGCUGUCACCCGCAAUCUCCUGAAACCGUUUCUGUCGGUGGUGCCGUUUUGCCUCUUCUUGCUGAUGGACAUCUACUGGAAGUACGAGACUCGGCCGAGUUGCGAGGGCGACUCGUGCACUCCCUCCGAGCACCUCCGCCACCAGAAGUCGAUCAUGAAGAGCCAGCGCAAUGCGCUCUUGAUCGCCGCCGCCUUGAUCUUCUACUGGCUUCUCUACACCGUCACCCACCUCGUCAUCCGCAUCGAGCAUUUGAACCAGCGCGUCGAACGCUUGAAGAAUCGCGACUGAGUCCACUCGAUAAGUUUUAGUUGUUGUUAGAUCUUAGAUGUGGAGCUCUGAGGUUUAUUUUGUGUUUGUGGUGGAGACAUUAUUAUUGGGUUGACUACAGUUCUUUUUUAAUCGGAUUUUGAAAUUUCUGUUGCUAUGUGUCCGUGAAUUUGGAAAUUAGGGAUUUUUGUAUGUGAAUUUGUGGAAAUUUGCCCUAUAAUUAUGUAUUGUUGAUCUUUGAGUUUUAGGGUAUGUGCUGCUUAUAUAUCCAACUAGUUGUCCUGUACAUUGGUUCGGAUUAAUAUGCAUCUGGGUUUGUGAGAUUUAAUUUGGUAUUAUGCUUGAUACAUAG